UACGUAGGGUGCAAGCGUUGUCCGGAAUUAUUGGGCGUAAAGAGCUCGUAGGCGGUUUGUUGCGUCGGCUGUGAAAUCCCGAGGCUCAACCUCGGGUCUGCAGUCGAUACGAGCAAACUAGAGUGUUGCAGGGGAGACUGGAAUUCCUGGUGUAGCGGUGAAAUGCGCAGAUAUCAGGAGGAACACCGGUGGCGAAGGCGGGGUCUCUGGGCCGUAACUGACGCUGGAGGAGCGAAAGCCGUGGGGAGCAAACAGG
rnacentral:rRNA from 1 species